GAGGGAUCAUUACCGAGUUUACAACUCCCAAACCCAAUGUGAACGUUACCAAACUGUUGCCUCGGCGGGAUCUCUGCCCCGGGUGCGUCGCAGCCCCGGACCAAGGCGCCCGCCGGAGGACCAACCAAAACUCUUUUUGUAUACCCCCUCGCGGGUUUUUUAUAAUCUGAGCCUUCUCGGCGCCUCUCGUAGGCGUUUCGAAAAUGAAUCAAAACUUUCAACAACGGAUCUCUUGGUUCUGGCAUCGAUGAAGAACGCAGCGAAAUGCGAUAAGUAAUGUGAAUUGCAGAAUUCAGUGAAUCAUCGAAUCUUUGAACGCACAUUGCGCCCGCCAGUAUUCUGGCGGGCAUGCCUGUCCGAGCGUCAUUUCAACCCUCGAACCCCUCCGGGGGGUCGGCGUUGGGGAUCGGCCCUCCCUUAGCGGGUGGCCGUCUCCGAAAUACAGUGGCGGUCUCGCCGCAGCCUCUCCUGCGCAGUAGUUUGCACACUCGCAUCGGGAGCGCGGCGCGUCCACAGCCGUUAAAC
rnacentral:sRNA from 1 species